rnacentral:rRNA from 1 species
CCUACGGGGGGCAGCAGUGGGGAAUAUUGCACAAUGGGGGAAACCCUGACCCAGCAACGCCGCGUGAGGGAAGACGGUCUUCGGAUUGUAAACCUCUUUUAUCAGGGAAGACAAAAGGGAGGGACCUGCAGAAGUAGCCACGGCUAACUACGUGCCAGCAGCCGCCGUAAUACGUAGGGGGCAAACGUUAUCCGGGAUUACUGGGUGGAAAGGGGGUGUAGGCGGGGUUGCAAGUCAGAUGUGAAAAUUAUGGGCUCAACCCAUAACCUUGGUCUGAAAAUACUGAUCUUGAGAGUGGGGGAGGUAAACGGAAUUCCGGGUGUAGCGGUGAAAUGCGUAGAUAUCGGGAGGAACACCAGUGGCGAAGGCGGUUUACUGGACCACAACUGACGCUGAGACGCGAAAGCGUGGGGAGCAAACAGGAUUAGAUACCCCGGUAGUC